CCUGACUGCCAUCGGAUUGGUACUAAGCCAUGUGAGUCGUUGUAGCAAUACAAGGCAUACGGCUCAGUAACACGUAGUCAAUCUAACCUAUGGACGGGGAUAACCUCGGGAAACUGAGGAUAAACCCCGAUAGAUCAUUAUACCUGGAACGGUUUAUGGUCCAAAUGAUUCGUCGCCGUAGGGUGGGACUGCGGCCUAUCAGCUUGUUGGUGAGGUAAUGGCCCACCAAGGCUAUUACAGGUACGGGCUCUGAGAGGAGAAGCCCGGAGAUGGGUACUGAGACACGGACCCAGGCCCUAUGGGGCGCAGCAGGCGAGAAACCUUUGCAAUGUGCGCAAGCACGACAAGGUUAAUCCGAGUGUUUCCUGCUAAAGGAAUCUUUUGUUAGUUGUAAAACCACUGAUGAAUAAGGGGUGGGCAAGUUCUGGUGUCAGCCGCCGCGGUAAAACCAGCACCUCAAGUGGUCAGGAUGAUUAUUGGGCCUAAAGCAUCCGUAGCCUGUUCUGUAAGUUUCCGGUUAAAUCCAUUAGCUCAACUAAUGGGCUGCCGAAAAUACUGCAGAACUAGGGAGUGGGAGAGGUAGACGGUACUCGGUAGGAAGGGGUAAAAUCCUUUGAUCUAUUGAUGACCACCUGUGGCGAAGGCGGUCUACCAGAACACGUUCGACGGUGAGGGAUGAAAGCUGGGGGAGCAAACCGGAUUAGAUACCCGGGUAGUCCCAGCUGUAAACGAUGCAGACUCGGUGAUGCCCUGGCUUGUGGCCAGUGCAGUGCCGCAGGGAAGCCGUUAAGUUUGCCGCCUGGGAAGUACGUACGCAAGUAUGAAACUUAAAGGAAUUGGCGGGGGAGCACCACAAGGGGUGAAGCCUGCGGUUC
rnacentral:rRNA from 1 species